rnacentral:rRNA from 1 species
UAGGGAAUCUUCCACAAUGGACGCAAGUCUGAUGGAGCAACGCCGCGUGAGUGAAGAAGGUCUUCGGAUCGUAAAGCUCUGUUGUUGGUGAAGAAGGAUAGAGGCAGUAACUGGUCUUUAUUUGACGGUAAUCAACCAGAAAGUCACGGCUAACUACGUGCCAGCAGCCGCGGUAAUACGUAGGUGGCAAGCGUUGUCCGGAUUUAUUGGGCGUAAAGCGAGCGCAGGCGGAAUGAUAAGUCUGAUGUGAAAGCCCACGGCUCAACCGUGGAACUGCAUCGGAAACUGUCAUUCUUGAGUGCAGAAGAGGAGAGUGGAACUCCAUGUGUAGCGGUGGAAUGCGUAGAUAUAUGGAAGAACACCAGUGGCGAAGGCGGCUCUCUGGUCUGCAACUGACGCUGAGGCUCGAAAGCAUGGGUAGCGAACAGGAUUAGAUACCCUGGUAGUCCAUGCCGUAAACGAUGAGCGCUAGGUGUUGGGGACUUUCCGGUCCUCAGUGCCGCAGCAAACGCAUUAAGCGCUCCGCCUGGGGAGUACGACCGCAAGGUUGAAACCCGUAAAGUGAAUUGAC